rnacentral:misc_RNA from 1 species
GAUAAUUACUAUGUUACAUUACACGUAAAAUAAGGAUUAAAAAAGUCUUUCUUUCUCUUUAUUAUUUAUUAUAUAAAUAUGUACAACUUUUAUCAGCAAUUCCAUUUAGAUAAAGUAAGGGCUGAAAAGAUCCAAUAUAAAGAAAAAUCAAAGUAAAGAAGUUUUCUUUAUUUUGAUUUUGUUCGAAAGUGAUUUUUUAUUCCCAUGGCUUGGUUAGGUCAGUACCUAGCCGGGCCCUUUUUUUUGUUCGAACGAAUCUUAGAGAAAACUAUUUAUCUGAUUUGAAAACAAAAAUACUUGUUAUUAAAUUAAAGCAACAAGAAAGUGUCAUUUCUUAUUAUUCUUUCUUCCUUUUUACUGGAAUAAAAUAGAUUCUUACACAAAGAAACUUAAUGCAUUUUUAUGUUAUGAUUUCGGUUAUCGAGCCGUAUCUAUCAAAAUUCCUCCAGUAAAAGAAAAGAUAGAACUUCUUAUUUAGUUAUUUAAAUGAAUCCUCUUUUCUUAAUCUCAUUAAACCCCCACGAAAAGAGUUAACACUCUAAUUUUCAUGAUUCUUUUAUGAUCCUUUACGCCCAAUUCCCCUAUUCGACAAAAGAUCCAUUUGUAUACAAU